rnacentral:rRNA from 1 species
AGUGAACGCUGGCGGUAGGCCUAACACAUGCAAGUCGAACGGCAGCACAGUAAGAGCUUGCUCUUACGGGUGGCGAGUGGCGGACGGGUGAGGAAUACAUCGGAAUCUACUUUUUCGUGGGGGAUAACGUAGGGAAACUUACGCUAACACCGCAUACGACCUACGGGUGAAAGCAGGGGAUCUUCGGACCUUGCGCGAUUGAAUGAGACGAUGUCGGAUUAGCUAGUUGGCGGGGUAAAGGCCCACCAAGGCGACGAUCCGUAGCUGGUCUGAGAGGAUGAUCAGCCACACUGGAACUGAGACACGGUCCAGACUCCUACGGGAGGCAGCAGUGGGGAAUAUUCGACAAUGGGCGCAAGCCUGAUCCAGCCAUGCCGCGUGAGUGAAGAAGGUCUUCGGGUUGUAAAGCCCUUUUGUUAGGAAAGAAAAGCAGCAGGUGUAUACCCCGCUGUUCUGACGGUACCCAAACAAUAAGCACCGGCUAACUUCGUG